CGAGGAUGCAGCUUUUGAUCAAUCAAUUCAAAACCACCGCCUGCAAUCUCCAGUGACUCUAGACAUGUUCUUGGGGAGAGGAGCACAUUUGGAAUUACCUGACCAGCUAAACCACCCUACUGAGGCUUAUAUGCCGAUUACCUCCUUGGCAAUGCAUGCCUGGAGACAACUGCUUUAAUCCAGUGUUAGAACGGAGAAUUUUAGCUUGCUAAAAUUCUUUAAUCCAGAAUUUUAUCUUGCUAAAAUUCGUCUGGGACCUGAUGAGCCUUUUGAGGAGUUUGUCUCGUGCUUCCUCCAGGCUGUUACAUGCCAGGUUGGCAAUGAUGAGGCUAGCUCCCUUUUGGUAAAGCAAUUGACUUUUGAAAAUGUUAAUACAGCAUGCCAGGCAGUCAUGAGGCCCUUUAAACAUAGAGGCACCUUAACUGAUUAUAUUCACCUCUGUGCUGAUAUCGGACCUGCUUAUCAACAAGGUCUUGCUCUAGCGGCUGCCCAGGCUGGUAUGACUGUUGCAGCCUUUCUGAAGCAGGGGCCUACUCAGCCUAGACCACCUCUUAAAUACUUUCGUUGUGGUGAUCUGGGGCGUGUAGCUAGACAGUGCCAAGCUCCUUCUAUCCCUCAGUCUCAGUUGCUGGCUUUGCUGACGCCUCUUGACCUGGUGUCUGCUUUGCCCAUUGCUGCCCAACCCCAGGUUCACCAACCAGGCCAAUGCCCUCGUUGUCCCCGUGGCACCCAUUGGGCCAACAAAUUUCAUUCCAAACGUGAUGCCCAGGGCAAUCCUCUCCCUCAGCGGUCAGAAAACUCCCUGAGGGGGGAGGUCCCAGCCCCCUCAAAACAUCGGGACACCCUUUGUACAGGCCCCUGCCCUGAUGUUGAAUGCAAAUCCAUUUCUAAACUCUUCAGAACAACACCAGAAGGCACCGGACUUGACCUCCGCCCCACCACCGGACAGGAGCUGCCUAAGGAUGACACAAUCGCCUGUGAUAUUGUGGACACCUUGUCUUCCUGGGUACGUGGAGUUCAUCUCCCAUCCUUUUCCUCUUUAAUUGGUAUUGGAGUGGCUUUACUUCUUCUUAUAGUCCUUCUCCCAGUACUCUUUCACCUUGUGUUCUCCUCCCUUCAACAAUUGUGGCUCAAGCUCCUUGAGUUGCAUUUUAAAACAAAACAAGGGAGAACUGUGGGGAAUGCUCCCGGGUGAGGCCCCUAGGAAAUGGGCCUCACCAUAUGGUGAGCUUGAGCCCAGACACAGAUCCCCGGUUGGAGGAGUCGAGCUGAGGGAAAGCAGGAACUGAGAGAGGGACUAUGCUAUUCAAAAUAAUUAACAGACAUUACUUUAUGGAUAUGAGGACUUGGGAGGCAUUGUGUCCACUUUCGGUUCCUUAUGGUUUAUUGCUUCAUUGUGUUCAUUUUUAGAUCCUUGCUACAUUAGUUGUAAAAUAUUAACUUCAGUGUUUACAAUUGUUAAGUAUUUACUGGGCGUAACUUACUUACUGGGCGUAACUUACUUACCUUGUGACUUAACUUCAGUAUUUACAAUUGUUAAGCAUUUACUGGGGGUACUGAUAAUAUUGAUAAUCAGCAUCACCUACUUCGCCCUUGAUCUUUUACAUCAGCAUCUGUUCCCUUUACUAGUUCCCCAGAAUUGUUUUCUGUUUCUUUUGUUAUUUGAGAAAUGCUUUGAUCUGAUGUAAAAAACAUUAAGUAGAAGAGUAUAUAAUGGAACCUACUGCACGAAUAAAAUUGCUGCUU
rnacentral:lncRNA from 1 species